GACGAACGCUGGCGGCGCGCUUAACACAUGCAAGUCGAACGGAAAGGCCUGCUUUCCCUUGUGGAUUGCGGGUACUCGAGUGGCGAACGGGUGAGUAACACGUGAGUGAUCUGCCCCCAACUUGGGUAUAAGCCUGGGAAACUGGGUCUAAUUCCCGAUAGGACUGCAGGGUGGUGCCUGUGGUGGAAAACGAUUUUCUAGUGGUUGGGGAUGAGCUCGCGGCCUAUCAGCUUGUUGGUGGGGUAAUGGCCUACCAAGGCGGCGACGGGUAGCCGGCCUGAGAGGGUGGACGGCCACAUUGGGACUGAGAUACGGCCCCGACUCCUACGGGAGGCAGCAGUGGGGAAUAUUGCACAAUGGGCGGAAGCCUGAUGCAGCGACGCCGCGUGGGGGAUGACGGCCUUCGGGUUGUAAACUCCUUUCGACCGCGAGGAAGCCACCUGGUUGGAAGGGUGGUGACGGUAGUGGUAGAAGAAGCACCGGCUAACUACGUG
rnacentral:rRNA from 1 species